rnacentral:rRNA from 1 species
AUUGAACGCUGGCGGCAUGCCUUACACAUGCAAGUCGAACGGCAGCACGGGUGCUUGCACCUGGUGGCGAGUGGCGAACGGGUGAGUAAUACAUCGGAACAUGUCCUGUAGUGGGGGAUAGCCCGGCGAAAGCCGGAUUAAUACCGCAUACGAUCCACGGAUGAAAGCGGGGGACCUUCGGGCCUCGCGCUAUAGGGUUGGCCGAUGGCUGAUUAGCUAGUUGGUGGGGUAAAGGCCUACCAAGGCGACGAUCAGUAGCUGGUCUGAGAGGACGACCAGCCACACUGGGACUGAGCCACGGCCCAGACUCCUACGGGAGGCAGCAGUGGGGAAUUUUGGACAAUGGGCGAAAGCUUGAUCCAGCAAUGCCGCUUGUGUGAAGAAGGCCUUCGGGUUGUAAAGCCCUUUUGUCCGGAAAGAAAUCCUUGACUCUAAUACAGUCGGGGGAUGACGGUACCGGAAGAAUAAGCACCGGCUAACUACGUG